rnacentral:rRNA from 1 species
GACGAACGCUGGCGGCGUGCCUAAUACAUGCAAGUUGAGCGAUGAAGAUUGGUGCUUGCACCAAUUUGAAGAGCAGCGAACGGGUGAGUAACGCGUGGGGAAUCUGCCUUUGAGCGGGGGACAACAUUUGGAAACGAAUGCUAAUACCGCAUAACAACUUUAAACAUAAGUUUUAAGUUUGAAAGAUGCAAUUGCAUCACUCAAAGAUGAUCCCGCGUUGUAUUAGCUAGUUGGUGAGGUAAAGGCUCACCAAGGCGAUGAUACAUAGCCGACCUGAGAGGGUGAGCGGCCACAUUGGGACUGAGACACGGCCCAAACUCCUACGGGAGGCAGCAGUAGGGAAUCUUCGGCAAUGGACGGAAGUCUGACCGAGAAACGCCGCGUGAGUGAAGAAGGGUUUCGGAUCGUAAAACUCUGUUGGUAGAGAAGAACGUUGGUGAGAGUGGAAAGCUCAUCAAGUGACGGUAACUACCCAGAAAGGGACGGCUAACUACGUG